CCAGACUGCAGCUGAAUCUUAAGGCAUGGGCUGUGGGGAGGCAUCAGGGGACUCCACGUAGGUAAUGAUGUAGACCAACGGUAACAUCCAGCUGCAGAGACCAGGCAGGACAGGAGUGGAGACAACAGUGCAGAUUCAGUCCAGUCCAACAGACUCUUCUGGAAGUGCAAGGCUAUUUGCUACAGGCUCGUACGACUAAAAAGCUGAACAAGACAGAGUCCUGCUCUCAGAGAACUUACCAUCUAAUUACAGUUGUGUGAAGUCAGCCUCACAAAGGCAUGAUCACACUGGGUUCUCAUGACAUCCCUGUGAAGUAGCCGUGUUCGACGGAAUCCACCCAUCCUGUAGAUGAGACUGUAGAGUUGAGGAAAGGCGCUGUCACCCAUGCGGGUGAAAAUACUACAUUAUUGCAACUCUCCAAGAGUGCGUGAAGAGAUCCACACGUGUGGUCACCUUCAUUCCAGGAUUAGUGACUGAAAAGAGCCGUUGACUGUCCUGCCCCAGACAUGCUACAACUCAUGAGACAGAUUCCUCACCGACUGAAGAAACACGGGAUGUUCUUUCUGGUGGCUGGAUGUUACCGGUUACUUGCAGCACGUAGCACUCCAGUCUUCAUUUUAUCACGUGACUCAUUCAGCACAACAUGCAUGUGAGAGACGCUAUGAAAUGUAAAUUGGCACCGAAGUUCAGUUGUCACGGUAAUUAAGAUUUGGCAGCUUGCCAGGGUGCCUCUGCCCAUUACUGGGAACCAGUCGGUCUCUGAAUGUGGUCUUGACUGGGGUCUCACUCUCAGAUAAACCCAAACGGGCUUGCCCUUCUCCACGUGUCCAGGGCAGUGUUCUUUCCAUCACAUCUGCCUUUUUCUGUCUCAAUUAAAUUCAGUAGUUAUUUAC